GGAACCAACCAGAGUGGUUCUAAAGUGGUUUUUUAAGGCAUCUGAACUAUCCUGAAUGAAUCCUGGAGAAGGGGGCCUUGGGAAACUUGUGAUGGUCACGCACUUCCCUCCUCCUGGCAGAGACCCAUAGGAAGGAGGAUGCUGAAAUACGCUGGAGCUGCCUUAGCCUGAUAUAGAAGGUUCUUUGUAUCUCCCCAGAGAAGAGGCUAUUUCCAUCAUGUGGCAUUAGGGGUCCCUCUCUGCCACCAACUCAAGGAUCAGAUUGCUGGCAAAUAUAUAUAUUCCAACGUAAUAGAUCAAGAUGGAAAACCCUUUGAUCGAGGUG